AGAAUCUGUAGGAAUGAAUCAGGAAUGAACUGGAGCGCUUGCUACUCGCUACAGAGCCUGCCCGGCUCCCGACUCUGGCUCAAAGAACUAAUCUUUGAGGAACGACGCUCAGUUGAGUCAGUCCUGAGCGAAUUUCUGUUUCCGGUCCUGCUGACUGAGCUUAAGCAGCUGCUGCCGCUGGUGAGAGAAGGUACUGCACAGAACUGAACGAGUUGUUCACUGAGAGGCAUCGUUCCUCCCGAGUCAUAUAAAAGAUUAGUUCAUAUUGAAUGAAUCGUUCACGAAUCGUUCACGCAUCAUUCACAAAUCGCUCAUGAACGACACAUCACUAUAUACCAAAUUGGGUUUCUAAUUAUCAGGGGCCUGUUUCAAGAAGGAGGUUCUGAUGCCACAAGUUAAUAUUUAGUCAUAUCGCCUUGCACAUUUAUUUGAGCGGUACCGUUUUUCUUGAGACUCCAUAACAUAUAUUAAUAAUCUUAUCCACCCAUACAUCAGACACAUCACCCAUCGUGGCCGUGCUCUUACAUCCGAGCAGAUUCUUUGUGUUGUGUUACGUUUUUUUUGCAAACGGUAGUUUUCUUUAUAACAUUGGAGAUGCUGGGCACAUUAGUAAAGCCACUGUAUAUAGAAUAGUUCGACCUCAAGUGCUUUCCUUGACACAAACUCCUCAGAGCCAUUAAAGAGGAGUUCCACAGGAUUGCAGAUCAUAUGUGAUGCUGCACAGAUUAUCACAAACGUGGAGGCCAAGUAUCCCGGCUUUGGUCAUGACUCAUGAAUAUAUAGUGAGUCACCUCUAAGUAACAGGCUGCACUGUGGAGAGAUUGAUGGCUUUCUUCUGGAGAUAGGGGUACAUGCCAGCCCACACUACUGACACCUUAUCCAGAACCUGAACCAGGCCCCCAAACAGCGCUCUAAUGUGGCACUGCAGAACUGGUACUGGCACUGGUUUUACUGCUCCCAGCCAGUUGAAACUGAUGGGCAGCAAUGCAGUGGACAAGGGUGUAUAUUUAUGUUUUCUUCUCAUUUAGUAAUUUGCUUAUGAUUAAUUUAUUCAUUAAAUUGGGUUCUGUUUUGUAUUUAUUUAUGGUUUGUUUUUAUCUAUUGAUUGAACAUGCCUGUAAGUUGUGCAUGCACUAAAUGUGAGUGGAGCUUCUCUGGGGGGGAGCAGCAACGGGAUGCCCAGCAAUUUUUCAGGGGGAGAGGGGGGCAUGGCCACCCAUGGCCGCCCCUUCGGGGCACCCCUGCUCAU